UAUCCUGGGCCUACUAAUAGGGCA
rnacentral:siRNA from 1 species